CUCACAGCAACUCUCUGAAGUAAGUGCUAUUGUUAUUCCUCCUUUAAAAUAAAUAAGUAAGUAAAUGAAGGUAAAUUGCCUUGGAAAUGUUAUGGUCAAGUCAACAACAUUUGUUAAGCAUUUGUAAUGUUUCAGGCUCAGUAUAAGGUGUUGUAGUUAUAAAGAAUUAAAAAAAAUAGUUCUUGCUAUCAGGGAACUCAGUAUAAAUGGGGGUGGCAAUAUGGAAACAUACACAUAUACCAAAUGUAUCCAGGGUAACUUGGAAGUAAUCUCAGAGGGAAGGCACUAUUAUUGGGAGGGAUUAGGGAAUGACUGCUUGGAGUAAGUAGGAUAUAAACUGAGCAUUAAAGGAAACCAGGAAAGCCAGUGGGCAAAGAUAAGGACAAAAGUACUCCAGUCAUGUGAAAAGGACAGUUGGGAUAUGUAAUGUGUGCAAAGAAUAACAAGAAGGUCAUUAUUACUGAAUCACUGAAUACACGGAGAAGAGUGAAUUGUCAGAAGACUGGAAAGGUUUACUCCAGCUUGUCUACAUCUUCUCUAAAAAGAGACAUCCAGUGUUUGAGACAGUGUUCCAGAUGUGUACUGACUUGAAAUGAGUACAGAGCUGUUUAGGAAAUAACCUGUGAGACUUUAAAAUUUGGCUCCAUUCAAGAACUCAGAAUCCUGAAAUUUUUUUUCACUAUCAUCAUCCAAGGAAUACUUUGCAGAAACUACUUCCCUUUUCAAGAGUGUUUCCAAGACACAGGUAUAGUUUAUAUCAUUCUUUCAAUCUCCAUGAAACUGAAAUUAAUGUAUAAAGGAUAAAUAACCAGAA
rnacentral:lncRNA from 1 species